rnacentral:rRNA from 1 species
UACGUAGGAGGCGAGCGUUGUCCGGAGUUACUGGGCGUAAAGGGUGCGCAGGCGGCGGUUCGCGUGGCGAGAUGAAAUCUCCUGGCUUACCUGGGAGAGUGGUCGCCAGACGGGAUCGCUUGAGGGUCGGAGAGGGGCGUGGAAUUCCGGGUGGAGCGGUGAAAUUCGUAGAUAUUCGGAAGAACACCAGUGGCGAAGGCGACUUACUGGACACAUAUUGACGCUGAGGUGCGAAAGCGUGGGGAGCAAACAGG